rnacentral:rRNA from 1 species
AGAGAAUAGAUACCCCGGUAGUCCACGCUGUAAACGAUGAGUGCUGGACGUUGGCGGGUUUACCUGCCGGUGUCGCAGCUAAACGCGUUAAGCACUCCGCCUGGGGAGUACGGCCGCAAGGUUAAAACUCAAAGGAAUUGACGGGGGCCCGCACAAGCGGUGGAGCAUGUGGUUUAAUUCGACGCAACGCGCAGAACCUUACCAGCCCUUGACAUGGGCGGACGGGGUCCAGAGAUGGACUCUUUCUCGCAAGAGACCGCUACACAGGUGCUGCAUGGCUGUCGUCAGCUCGUGUCGUGAGAU